AGAAAACAAAUAGCCCUGUUUUUCAAGUGUGUUUGCACUGGAGUUUCUGCUACCCAAGCAUCGUAAUUGAGAGCAUCUUUCUCAUACAGUCCACUAAAGCUGAUGCAGGUACUGAUGAAACAGCCACACUUCUCCUCACACACUAGGAGGAAAAGUAGCCACACGGUAGUGGGACAGAGUGAGGUCACCCUCUUCCCUCCAACCCAGGAUCAAAUGUCACUCUCAGGCCUCACUGUCAUGCAGGUUCCUCCCCUCCUCGCAGCCUACCUUAGGUCCUGGAUUGCUUGUCCAAAUCUCUGUUUCUAUUCUGUUCCUGAGUCUUCUCUAGACCUGGAUUGAACCCUGGACCCUGGCCCAUGCAGGCCCCCAGACCCUCUCCCUAGUGGGCAGGCUCCUCCCAGUUGGGUCUGCACACCUUGCCUCUGCUGGGUCCCCCACCCAGAGACCCUCUGUCUUACAAGGAGCCCUACCCCUACCCUGGGGUCAGUGGCAGCCACAGAAGGGCUUCAAAUAGUAAGAAAGACAUGUUUUAUAGCGCCACAUUUAGAAAUACCCUUCAGGAGGCCAUGUGGAGAGUAGGUCAUAUAGUUCGCCCAGUUGGCCUUUUUUUGGCCUUAAGACCCCAGGGUCUGUGCAAGGCUGAUGAAUUGGUAGAUCUUCUCUGGGGUCUCAGUUUUAACACUGCACCAUCCUUUUGAAAGGAAUAAUAGAUAUAUAGUAAUAAAGGCUACCAUUUUUGAGUAAUUACCAUAUACCAAGCAUAGGGCUAGGCCCUUCCCAUCUAUUCGCGUAUUUAGUCCUCACAAUAAUCCAAUAGCCAUUUUUUAUCCCCAUUUUACCAAUAAGGCUCCCUGCAGUUUAGGAUGUUUAGUAACCUGUCCAAGUGUCCCCAGCUGCAAAGCAGCAGGGCCUGCAGUAUCUUGGCUCCAAAAGCUACUUCCCCCCACCACCCCCACCAGCCCUUAAGUGCUGGUUCCUGUCCUAUAACAUGCCUCAUAAACAACACGUUUCAAAUGCAGGAGAGCAGAGUGCUGGCCAAUAAGGCUUUCUUGGGAGCCUUGAAAGCCUUGCAUUUGUUAAAUGUUCACUGGGUUCAGGGCCCUCCCUGGGCUCUGGGACCUGAGCUGCCACCCAGGACAGAAGAGGUCUGUCCAGGAGGAGGCUCAGGGCCCUUCAGGAUCCUGAUUCCCCUUGGCCCUGGGCUCAGGGUUGUGAAAAUGAUACAUGUGGGAACAGCAGUCCCCGUUAUACUCAGGCUGUGCUCUUUACGUGUAGGAAGAGGGUGGGCAUGAUGCCAGGGGGAGGGAUGCCAACACCCCCUGAGGUUCUUGUGUGUCCUGUAGAUGGACCCUGGGUGGGCCAGCAGGUCAGUCCAUGGUACCAGAUACUUGCAAAAAAAGAGGAGGAGAAAAGUUCCGAUGUUCUGUCCCCUUCUGAAUUUCUGGAUGCCAGUCAGAAAUGCUGGUAAGAAUCCAAUCAGUAAUGUUGUUGAAUCUCUGGAACCUGAGAUUCUGCUCAUAUUCACUUGUCUUUCCUUUUUGCCCAUAUACCACCCUGCUUUGAAAAGAGACCUUUACCUGAUGGUACCACAAUGCUCCAGAUCAGCCAGGGUCAUGCCCAGCCCUGCCUCCCCCACAGUAUUCCCUCGGGGGCAGAAGCCAGACAGGCCACCCUUAUCCGGGAAAUCACUGAAAAGGGGGUCCAGCUGAGCCCCCAGCUCCCAACCCCAGCCCUUUCCCUCCUUGGUUUCAACUUUAUUAAUUAAGAAAGCAGACUGGGGCUUGCUGUGAGGGAGACUAUUGUGUCUGUCUCUCAAAAGCAAGGGCACCACUGUGAGAACCAGUUGGCAUGGCGACUGAGCCAGGAGGAUGCUUUCAAAAUGGGCAAUUUAAUUUAAACAAUCAUUGCAUUUUUAACUAAAUGUCACAUUCCCAUAAUUGCCAGGACAGCUAAUUGGGCAAUUAAUUGUUUGGAAUUUUUUAUUUCUGUUCUCUUAGUCCCCUUAAUGUGCAUGUGCACACGUACACACACACACACACACACACACACACACACACACACAAAACACACACACACACAAUCACUCACAAUAGGAACCAAGUUACUAACCCCAUGGUUACCAGUGAAGAAAAUUCUGAAGCGCUUGGUCUCAAUGCUUGACUAUUUGGUGGUGGUUGAUUCAUCAGCGUCAUCACUUCUCAAUCGUGUUCAACCCAAGGAAUCCCUCGUUUCCCUCCUUUUAUAGUGAUAUUGAUGAGAGUCAAGAUAUCAAGCCCCAGGCAGAUGCAUACCCACCUGACAGAGGUGGAAUUUCCCUGGGGUAGGGACUCUGACUUGGGAAAGUUGUCACCUGGGUUUUCACGCAUUUUUUAAUUCUGAAGCCCCUGGCCUAGGCACAAGUCUCAGUUCACUGGUAUAUCCAUCUUUUCUUUUCUUUUUCAGCCGCCCUCGGGGCAUAUGAAAGUUCCUGGGCCAGGGAUCGAAUCUGAGUGACAGCUGCAAACUGUGCCACAGCAACGGCAACACCAGAUGUUUAACCAGCUGUGCCAGGCAGGAGAUGGAACCCGCGCUGCCACAGAGACAACAUGGGAUCCUUAACCCACUGUGCCACAACAAGUAUUCCUCUCCAUCUUUUCUAAACACUCGCCUCAAUGAAAAAUGCAGAUGUUGUCAUCUGAGAUGGAAAUUGCCUGAACUGUGUGUAGACGUGAUAUCUGCCCUGGUGAAUCCUAGAUUCCAUGGCGACAGGCUUGGUGCCUGAACUGGAACUCAGCUCUUUGCGUUUACUGCUUUGAUGUAUGCUAAGUGGCCAUGAAAUAGUUUUUGUUUUAAACAUUGCUUCCAAAACUCCCGUAAACAAUCUGUCUUGCUGGGUUAGCUGGCUCUACGGAGAAUAUGUUCUCAUCGUAUCCUGGCUCAGACUGUCCCUCCAAAAAACAGUGCGAAAGGGCUGUUAACUCAUCUUAAUCAUUUUUUUUUUUUAAUCCAAACUGCUGUUCUGAAUAAGCUAGAGGUAAAUAAGGGUGCUCGACUUGUGUUUCUGCCCAGGGCAGCAGGCUGCCUCUGAUGUUCAAUGGAGCUGAAACCCAGAGACAAGAGCUGGGGACAGAGAGUCCAUCACCCCGCAGGGGAAAUGGAAAACCUACUCCCUCGCCCUUGAUGGUCGCCAUUCUGACUGCUCCUCCCUGAUUGCCGGCCUUUUGAGUGCUAAAUAUUCCCUUUUGUUCUGCUUUCCUGACAACUGUUUAAUCAUGCUCUAUUCAUAGAAAUUACAGUAGAAGCCUCUUGUUUCCCAUAUAUCAAACAAGAUAAUGCACAGGGAAAUCAAGUUCUGGAAACAAAUAAUGGAGUCGUAAGUCUCCUGCCAGGAGUGAAAUCCUAAAAUGCGUUGAUGGCUAGGUGUGUGACUAUAGGCCAGGGGACAGGGAGGGCAUUUUUCCUCCAUGAAUAUUUCCCUGUGAAUUUGCCCUCAAGGUCCAAUCAGCAAUAAAA
rnacentral:lncRNA from 1 species